AUGUGGAGCAGAGCCAUGUCUCGGGACACAGGCUUGGAGGCAGGGCUGCUGUGAUAGUUCCAGAGAACCCAGGAUGAGGAGGGGGCAGGUGAGGCCACCGGAGGAUGGGCUUCAUUUGGGACAAGUUGAGUGGAUGACACCUGCAGAAAUCUGGCUAGAACAGGGGCUUCAGUGAGUGCGUGACAGAUGGAAAACCCAGACUGCUGAGCACAGUGGACUUGAAUGGAGACUGCUGGUGGCUGCUGGUGUAUGUGAGGCUGAACCUCUUGCAACUGCCAUCUUUACAGAUUGAGAACAGCCUAAUACUGGUUCCCUCCAGUCCCUGCUGCAGAUGCCUCCUCCCCACAGGAUCCUCGGAGUGAAAUUCUCAUCUCUCAUAGCCCUUGUUAGCUGCCGACUUCAGCCUUGUGUACCACCGAGACUUCUGGAAUGACACCACCAUUUCUUAGCUGGCUCCAAUGAUAAAGCCAGCCACCAAGAAGCACACUGUUGGGCACAACUGCAUUUUUAUAACAAAGUGGGCUUGCAGCUCUGGGGCCUAAGCAACAGAGGAAUGUGUGGACAAGUUAUGUUCCAUUCCUGCUCCCCAGCAGGGACUCUGUUACUGCUGGGACUAGGUCUGUUACAGUUUUACAAACAAGAAAAAGGGGCGUCUGGAUGGCAAUCCAUAAGAAUGGGUUGCCAAAGGCCUUAACUCCAUAUUCAGAGUCAGAAAACUUGAGUUCCUUCUGUUAAGACACUCUAGACCUUGGAGAAAGAUCCAUAACCUCCCCAAGACACAGCUUUCUGAUCUGUGAAAUGAGGAUAAUAGUGCAAAUCAAACAUCAUUCGAUGCAUAUUUAUGCAGUUGGUGCUGAUUAGAAAUAGAUUUGGCUCCUUUGACAUCCUGAAAUGACUGAAAUAAGAAACUCCGUCUCCAUCCUCCCUGCUGCUAGCAACUUAACACAGCACUGGGGAGUUGGGGCAAAGGGGGUCUGUGUGAGGGCACCCUCCGAGGGCCCCAGGAGUGGCUGUUCUUUUUAAUAAGCCUCUUGCGGUACGCAGCGUUGUGUCCUGUCACCAGCAUGCGGCUGAAAUUGAUCGGACAGCCUCAACUGCUCAUCAGUGAAAAUGGCUGCGAGGAGAGUAACUUUUCACUUUGUUUCACCUGUGAUCUGGGUCUGGCGAGCCGGUCAAUACUCCAGUUACUAGGAGCUGCCUUCGAAGCUUGGAGGGCUGGAUCCCUGCAACCCAGCUAGGACUGAUCUGUGUGUGUGGCGGGGAUGUGGCCAGCAUCCUCCACGACCCAGCUCCCUCAUGAGUCUGCAACACCUGGCCCUCAGGACUGCGUGAUGGGUGCCCCGUGAGAUCCAAUUCCACUGUGAACUAUGCUGACAUCCAUCAAGGCCUUUACCUCCUGCCUCUUGGUUUGAAAUGGGUCUCCAAGACUUCCACCAUCCACAAGUGAUCCAGAAAUGGCUCUGGCAGUACCCAAGCGUUCCUUGAAGGCAGGUCCGGGUCUGGUUCUCCGGAUCCCAACACCACAAGGCGGCAGUGGUCUUGUACAAUGUCUCUGUAUUCCCAAGUCCCCAUCUGCGAGCAUGGCCACUGGAAAUAACUGCAGCUGUAUACUGACUUAAAGAUCCAAAAAUCCCAGGAAAGACCCCAGAGCUGUGAGCCAGACGCCCAAGGCCCUCCCAGCCUGCAAGCCCCAGGCCAAGCCUGAACUAUAUGCAGACCAGAUUUCAUCCAAGGAAAAAGGAUCACAUGAAGAUGAAAACACCCCACUUCCUUCAUCUGGAUGGCACCUUGUUUAGAAGCCCAUCACUCGGCCAGAGAAGAAAUAUUUAGAUCGAGAAACACCUUUCUGUUGUGCCCUAAGCCCAUUCUACCUUUGAUUCAACUAAAAAUUUAUUUCCACUUAAAUAAAACCAGCAAUUCUGA